UACGAAGGGGGCUAGCGUUGUUCGGAAUCACUGGGCGUAAAGGGCGCGUAGGCGGCUUUUCAAGUCGGGGGUGAAAGCCUGUGGCUCAACCACAGAAUUGCCUUCGAUACUGUUAGGCUUGAGACCGGAAGAGGUGAGUGGAACUGCGAGUGUAGAGGUGAAAAUUCGUAGAUAUUCGCAAGAACACCAGUGGCGAAGGCGGCUCACUGGUCCGGUUCUGACGCUGAGGCGCGAAAGCGUGGGGAGCAAACAGG
rnacentral:rRNA from 1 species